rfam:Schistosoma rodhaini strain Burundi genome assembly, scaffold: SROB_scaffold0003545
AUCUAACUGAUGAGUCCAAAAUAAAACAAAACGCGCGUCCUGAAU